GAUGAACGCUGGCGGCGUGCCUAAUACAUGCAAGUCGAGCGAACAGACGAGGAGCUUGCUCCUCUGACGUUAGCGGCGGACGGGGGAGUAACACGUGGAUAACCUACCUAUAAGACUGGGAUAACUUCGGGAAACCGGAGCUAAUACCGGAUAAUAUAUUGAACCGCAUGGUUCAAUAGUGAAAGACGGUUUUGCUGUCACUUAUAGAUGGAUCCGCGCCGCAUUAGCUAGUUGGUAAGGUAACGGCUUACCAAGGCAACGAUGCGUAGCCGACCUGAGAGGAUGAUCGGCCACACUGGAGCUGAGACACGGUCCAGACUCCUACGGGAGGCAGCAGUAGGGAAUCUUCCGCAAUGGGCGAAAGCUGGACGGAGCAACGCCGCGUGAGUGAUGAAGGUCGUCGGAUCGUAAAACUCUGUUAUUAGGGAAGAACAAAUGUGUAAGUAACUAGGCACGUCUUGACGGUACCUAUUCAGAAAGACACGGCUAACUACGUGC
rnacentral:rRNA from 1 species